UUAAAAUGUAAAUUUAUUAAACUUGAGUAGUAAUAGUUAUUUUCUUGAAACUUAAAGAAUUUGGCGGUGUUUUAGUCUUUUCAGAGGAACCUGUCCUGUAAUUGAUAUUCCACAAUAAUCUUACUUAAUUUUGUAUUCAAUUUGUAUACCGCCGUUAUCAGAAUAUUUUAAAAGAAUUUUUAAUUUUCGAGAUUUUUUAUAUAAAGUUAUUUCAGGUCAAGGUGCAGUUAAUAAUUAAGAAGAGAUGGGUUACAUUAAAAUAAUUUAUACGAAUUUUUAUUUGAAAAAAUAAAAUGAAGGUGGAUUUGAAAGUAAAAAAUAUUAUUUAAUAUUAUUGAUUAUAGCUCUAGAACAUGU
rnacentral:rRNA from 1 species